rnacentral:rRNA from 1 species
UACGGAGGGGGCUAGCGUUGUUCGGAAUUACUGGGCGUAAAGCGCGCGUAGGCGGACCUGCAAGUCGGGGGUGAAAGCCCGAGGCUCAACCUCGGAACUGCCUUACGAUACUGCGGGUCUCGAGUCCGGGAGAGGUGAGUGGAAUUCCUAGUGUAGAGGUGAAAUUCGUAGAUAUUAGGAAGAACGCCAGUGGCGAAGGCGGCUCACUGGCCCGGUACUGACGCUUGAGGGCGCGAAAGCGUGGGGGAGCAAACAGG